rnacentral:rRNA from 1 species
AUUGAACGCUGGCGGCAUGCUUUACACAUGCAAGUCGAACGGUAACAGGCCUUCGGGUGCUGACGAGUGGCGAACGGUGAGUAAUGCAUCGGAACGUACCCAGAGGUGGGGGAUAACGCAGCGAAAGCUGUGCUAAUACCGCAUGUGAUCUGAGGAUGAAAGCGGGGGACCGAGCAGCAAUGUUUGGCCUCGCGCCUUUGGAGCGGCCGAUGUCGGAUUAGCUAGUUGGUGGGGUAAAGGCCUACCAAGGCGACGAUCCGUAGCUGGUCUGAGAGGACGACCAGCCACACUGGGACUGAGACACGGCCCAGACUCCUACGGGAGGCAGCAGUGGGGAAUUUUGGACAAUGGGCGCAAGCCUGAUCCAGCAAUGCCGCGUGCGGGAAGAAGGCCUUCGGGUUGUAAACCGCUUUUGGCAGGAACGAAACGGUGUCCGCUAAUACCGGGCGCUAAUGACGGUACCUGCAGAAUAAGCACCGGCUAACUACGUG